rnacentral:rRNA from 1 species
AAGAACCUUACCAGGUCUUGACGAUUCCCGAUGCUAUUUCUAGAGAUAGAAAGUUACUUCGGUACAUCGGUGGACAGGUGGUGCAUGGUUGUCGUCAGCUCGUGUCGUGAGAUGUUGGGUUAAGUCCCGCAACGAGCGCAACCCCUAUUGUUAGUUGCCAUCAUUCAGUUGGGCACUCUAGCGAGACUGCCGGUAAUAAACCGGAGGAAGGUGGGGAUGACGUCAAAUCAUCAUGCCCUUAUGACCUGGGCUACACACGUGCUACAAUGGUUGGUACAACGAGUUGCGAGUCGGUGACGGCGAGCUAAUCUCUUAAAGCCAAUCUCAGUUCGGAUUGUAGGCUGCAACUCGCCUACAUGAAGUCGGAAUCGCUAGUAAUCGCGGAUCAGCACGCCGCGGUCGAAUACGUUCCCGGGCCUU